rnacentral:ncRNA from 2 species
UUAGUUCUUGGGGGCUGUGAUUUCAGGGCUUAUAUGGACGCUUUGCCCUGGGGGAGCCAGUAGCGUAACCGACCACUUAUGGU